AGNAAGCAGCAGGCGCGCAAAUUACCCACUCCCGGCACGGGGAGGUAGUGACGAAAAAUAACGAUACGGGACUCAUCCGAGGCCCCGUAAUCGGAAUGAGCACACUUUAAACCCUUUAACGAGUAUCCAUUGGAGGGCAAGUCUGGUGCCAGCAGCCGCGGUAAUUCCAGCUCCAAUAGCGUAUAUUAAAGUUGUUGCGGUUAAAAAGCUCGUAGUUGGAUUUGUGUCCCACGCUGUCGGUUCACCGUUCGUCGGUGUUAACUGGCAUGCCCGUGCGGACGUCCUGCCGGUGGAUGCGGUCGACCGUGGGCCUCUGGUCUGCGCGUCGGCGGUCCGAUGCAAUCCUACCGCGGUGCUCUUUACCGAGUGUCGAGGUGGGCCGGCACGUUUACUUUGAACAAAUUAGAGUGCUCAAAGCAGGCAGUGGUUCGCCUGAAUAUUGUGUGCAUGGAAUAAUGGAAUAGGACCUCGGUUCUAUUUUGUUGGUUUUCGGAACUUGAGGUAAUGAUUAAUAGGGACAGACGGGGGCAUUCGUAUUGCGACGUUAGAGGUGAAAUUCUUGGAUCGUCGCAAGACGAACCUAAGCGAAAGCAUUUGCCAUGGGUGUUUUCAUUAGUCAAGAACGAAAGUUAGAGGUUCGAAGGCGAUCAGAUACCGCCCUAGUUCUAACCAUAAACGAUGCCAGCUAGCGAUCCGCCGAAGUUCCUCCGAUGACUCGGCGGGCAGCUUCCGGGAAACCAAAGCUUUUGGGUUCCGGGGGAAGUAUGGUUGCAAAGCUGAAACUUAAAGGAAUUGACGGAAGGGCACCACCAGGAGUGGAGCCUGCGGCUUAAUUUGACUCAACACGGGUAACCUCACCAGGCCCGGACACCGGAAGGAUUGACAGAUUGAGAGCUCUUUCUUGAUUCGGUGGGUGGUGGUGCAUGGCCGUUCUUAGUUGGUGGAGCGAUUGUCUGGUAUCA
rnacentral:rRNA from 1 species